AGGAAUCUUUGCUCUUUCAGACAUUUUCUAGAAGGAUUUCUAUAAAAGAAAUCCCAC
rnacentral:snRNA from 1 species